GUUUCUGACCUAUCAGCUUUCGACGGUAUGGUAUUGGCUUACCGUGGCAGUGACGGUUAACGGGGGAUUAGGGUUCGAUUCCGGAGAGGGAGCCUGAGAAACGGCUACCACAUCUAAGGAAGGCAGCAGGCGCGCAAAUUACCCAAUUCUAACAGUUUGAGAGAGGUAGUAACAAGAAAUAACAAUACAAGGCAGUUAAAAUGCUUUGUAAUUGGAAUGAUAGAAAUUUAAACCCUUUUUAAAGUAUCAAUUGGAGGGCAAGUCUGGUGCCAGCAGCCGCGGUAAUUCCAGCUCCAAUAGCGUAUAUUAAAAUUGUUGCAGUUAAAAAGCUCGUAGUUGAAGUUCUGCUGAAAGUAACCGGUCUGCUUUUAAUAAAAGUGGUAUCUUGGUAUGUAUUUAGCAAUGAUGUCCUUUGAAGUGUUUUUUACUUUAUUGUAAUAAAGCAUAUUCAGGACUUUUACUUUGAGAAAAUUAGAGUGUUUCUAGCAGGCUGACGCUUUGAAUACUGCAGCAUGGAAUAAUAAGAUAGGAUUUUAGUUCUACAUUAUUGGUUUUAAGAGCUAAAUUAAUGAUUGAUAGGGACAGUUGGGGGCAUUUGUAUUUAACUGUCAGAGG
rnacentral:rRNA from 1 species